AGCAGCCGCGGUAAUUCCAGCUCCAAUAGCGUAUAUUAAAGUUGUUGCAGUUAAAAAGCUCGUAGUUGAAUUUCGGGAUCAAUUGAUUGGUCAUGCCUUGGUAUGUACUGGUCAUAUUGGUUCUCACCUUCUAAUGAACCAUAAUGUCAUUUACUUGAUGUUAUGGGGAAUUAGGACUGUUACCUUGAAAAAAUUAGAGUGUUUAAAGCAGGCUUACGCUUGAAUACAUUAGCAUGGAAUAAUGAAAUAGGACAUCGCAUUCUAUUUUGUUGGUUUCUAGGAUCGAUGUAAUGAUUAAUAGGGAUAGUUGGGGGCAUUAGUAUUCAAUUGUCAGAGGUGAAAUUCUUGGAUUUAUUGAAGACUAACUACUGCGAAAGCAUUUGCCAAGGAUGUUUUCAUUAAUCAAGAACGAAAGUUAGGGGAUCGAAGACGAUCAGAUACCGUCGUAGUCUUAACCAUAAACUAUGCCGACUAGGGAUCGGAUGAUGUUGAUUUUUAAAUGACUC
rnacentral:sRNA from 1 species